rnacentral:rRNA from 1 species
GGGUUGUGAGGUUAAGCGACUAAGCGUACACGGUGGAUGCCCUGGCAGUCAGAGGCGAUGAAGGGCGUGCUAAUCUGCGAUAAGCGCCGGUAAGGUGAUAUGAACCGUUAUAACCGGCGAUACCCGAAUGGGGAAACCCAGUGUGACUCGUCACACUAUCAUUAACUGAAUCCAUAGGUUAAUGAGGCGAACCGGGGGAACUGAAACAUCUAAGUACCCCGAGGAAAAGAAAUCAACCGAGAUUCCCCCAGUAGCGGCGAGCGAACGGGGAGGAGCCCAGAGCCUGAAUCAGCAUGUGUGUUAGUGGAAGCGUCUGGAAAGGCGCGCGAUACAGGGUGACAGCCCCGUACACAAAAGCGCAUGUGCUGUGAGCUCGAUGAGUAGGGCGGGACACGUGGUAUCCUGUCUGAAUAUGGGGGGACCAUCCUCCAAGGCUAAAUACUCCUGACUGACCGAUAGUGAACCAGUACCGUGAGGGAAAGGCGAAAAGAACCCCGGCGAGGGGAGUGAAAAAGAACCUGAAACCGUGUACGUACAAGCAGUGGGAGCACAGGUUUACCUGUGUGACUGCGUACCUUUUGUAUAAUGGGUCAGCGACUUAUAUUCUGUAGCAAGGUUAACCGCAUAGGGGAGCCGGAGGGAAACCGAGUCUUAAUUGGGCGUUAAGUUGCAGGGUAUAGACCCGAAACCCGGUGAUCUAGCCAUGGGCAGGUUGAAGGUUGGGUAACACUAACUGGAGGACCGAACCGACUAAUGUUGAAAAAUUAGCGGAUGACCUGUGGCUGGGGGUGAAAGGCCAAUCAAACCGGGAGAUAGCUGGUUCUCCCCGAAAGCUAUUUAGGUAGCGCCUCGUGAAUUCAUCUCCGGGGGUAGAGCACUGUUUCGGCUAGGGGGCCAUCCCGGCUUACCAACCCGAUGCAAACUGCGAAUACCGGAGAAUGUUAUCACGGGAGACACACGGCGGGUGCUAACGUCCGUCGUGAAGAGGGAAACAACCCAGACCGCCAGCUAAGGUCCCAAAGUCAUGGUUAAGUGGGAAACGAUGUGGGAAGGCCCAGACAGCCAGGAUGUUGGCUUAGAAGCAGCCAUCAUUUAAAGAAAGCGUAAUAGCUCACUGGUCGAGUCGGCCUGCGCGGAAGAUGUAACGGGGCUAAACCAUGCACCGAAGCUGCGGCAGCGAACGUAUCACUUAAAGCGAUUCAGCGGGUUACGAUUGACGGAGCGAAGCGACGUCAAAGCGUAUACAAAGUCGAGUCGGUUUAAGGAUACGUUCGUUGGGUAGGGGAGCGUUCUGUAAGCCUGCGAAGGUGGCCUGUGAGGGUUGCUGGAGGUAUCAGAAGUGCGAAUGCUGACAUAAGUAACGAUAAAGCGGGUGAAAAGCCCGCUCGCCGGAAGACCAA